GAUCUCCUCUUCCGCCGCCGCCGUCGCGGGUUGGUGGAGGCGGUUGGCCUGUAAUGAGGCACGCGCUGGGAGGGAGCAGCCGUUAGUCUUUGAACCGGCGCUGCGAGCGGCGGCCUCCAACCGGAGAACAUGGCCGCCGUCAUCAACAAAAGCAAGAACGGGCGGACGGUGAUCGUGCGGCAUCUCCCGGCCGAGCUGGCGCGUAACGAGAAGGAGGAGCUGCUCCAAUGCUUCGGGGCCGAGUCUGUCCGGGUCUUCUCGGACAGGGGCAGAAUGAAACAUACUGCUUUUGCUACUUUUCCUUCUGAAAAUGCAGCUGCAAAGGCUUUGACCAGGCUACAUCAAUUAAAAAUCCUGGGUCACACUCUUGUGGUCGAAUUUGUGAAGGAACAUGUACAUUUACCAGAUCAACCGAAGCCCAUCGAUAAAAGCAUGUGUGAGGAUAAAACUUUGCGUAAAGAUGUCAGAGAGACUCUGAAGCCAAGUGGACCCGUUAUAGAAAAUGGGAUUGCUCCAAAACUUGGACUAAUCCAGCCCAUGAAUCCAUGCUUGAAAUAUUUGUAUCCUCCACCCACAAGUGUAAUUUUGGCAAAUAUUGCUAAUGCCAUGGCAAGUGUACCAAAAUUUUACGUUCAGGUUCUUCAUCUGAUGAAUAAAAUGAACUUGCCAGCUCCUUUUGGACCGAUCACUGCCCGCCCUCCAAUGUAUGAGGAGUAUUCUCCUGCCCCUCCUCCAAUGCCCCCAUUACCUCCAGAAGAACCUCCUUUGCCUGAAGAAGAAAUGGAUGUUUCAAGUGAAGAAGAAUCAGAAUACGAAAGUGGAAGUGAAGAAGACAAAGAGAGAAUGAUACGAUUGUUGGGAUUAGCCACUCUUCCACCGAAACGGAUACUGAAAAAGAAACUAUCUUCAGUCAGAAAGCGUCCAAAACUGAAGGAUUUGAUUAAUGUACCAAAAGCACCUUCCCAAAGUACUCAUUCAGCUGUGCCACCAUCUGAAGUUUUUGAACAACCACAGACUCACAGUCAGAAGAAAAUUGCAUUCCACAUUUCUGCUGAUGUUGUGGGUUUGCUAGAGGGUGGGGUAGACCGUCAAGAAGAGCAAGAAAAUACAGCUGAGGCCCAAUCUAUAGGAUUUGGUAAAAUCCAUCCGACUCCUGUUUAUUCUAAAAUUGAAGAGGAUGAGGAGGAAGAGGAGGAAAUCCUUACAGAGUUCAUUUCAAGGAGGGAUCUAGCAAAGGGAAGGAUCAGUAAAGAAGAAAUUGAAAGCAUAUCAGUCUUUAAAAAAUAUUAUCCGGGAGAACCAACAUGCAGACUGUAUGUAAAGAAUUUAUCCAAACAAGCUGAAGAAAAGGACUUGAAAUUCAUCUUUGGAAGAUAUAUUGACUUUUCAUCAGAGACUGAAAGAAAUAUGUUUGAUAUACGUUUAAUGAAAGAAGGACGUAUGAAAGGACAAGCGUUUAUUGGCCUUCCAAAUGAGAAAUCAGCCAUAAAAGCCUUAAAGGAAGUAAAUGGAUAUGUUCUCCAAGAGAAACCGAUGGUAGUUCAAUUUGCUCGGUCUGCAAGACCAAAACAAGAUUUAACUGAGGGAAAAAGAAGCAAACAAAAAUGAUGGUCAUUGGUUCAAAGCAUACACUUUGUAUACAGUAGGCCAGUUGACCAAAUUUGGAGGAUUAUUAAAUGUAUCCUUUCUUAUGUAUCCUUUAUUAUGUCAUAAAAGUAAUGCAGCAAAAAAGGUAUUGCACUAAUUUAGUUAGGAAAAACAAGGUUAAGAUAAAAGGUAAGUAGCAGAUGAUGGGCCAGUGUUUUUUUCACAUGCCUGAAAGGUCAGCAACCUACAGUUGAAAGUUGCAAGUUCUGAUCUUUCAUUGAGUGAAAAACUUUAUCCUGCUUAUGUGAACCAUAAUGUUGAAGAAAAAUAAAAGGGUAUUUUAAAUGUUAUGAAUUAAUGAAAUGUCUGGGCGUCUCCCACAGAAUAAUAGAUAUUUCUAAAAUGCUUUGGAGUAACUUGAAAUAGUUCAGUGCUGGUGAAAUGAUGAGAUUGGGUACCACUGCAUUUGCUUUUUUUUUGAUGACCUUUACCAAAGUUAGAUUGUAUACAUAAAUUUGAGACCCCUUUUCCUUUGAAAGUGUAAUUGCUCCAUUGAUGUUCAUUUUGCUGCAUUGAAUUUAUUUGUUCAUUUUGCUGCAUUGAAUUUAUCAGUAGCAUGUUUCCUUCCAUCCAAUUUACUGUCCUAACAGCAAAAGAGAAAGCAGAGGGGGAGAAUAUAAAACGGGGGAAAAUACAAUGUUUCUGUUCUAAGGGACUCUUUUGGGUGAUCCUCAGCUUGGAAAAUCAUUGCUUAGAGAAAAUGCCCAGCUAACAGCUGCAUGAAGACUGCAAAUAUUCAAUGUCUAAGUCCAGUUUUUUAAGUUAUCUACUGAAAUUACAUUUUACAAGUGUCCUUUCUUAUACUUUGUAAAGGUAAGAAUGACUUCGUUAUGGGCAGGCAAUUAUGUUAGAAUUGUAUGUAUUUAAAUGUUAAAAUCACUGUGUGUGUAUAUAUAUAUAAAAAAAAUAAACAUGCCAUUGU